GAUGAACGCUGGCGGCGUGCCUAAUACAUGCAAGUCGAGCGAACGGACGAGAAGCUUGCUUCUCUGAUGUUAGCGGCGGACGGGUGAGUAACACGUGGAUAACCUACCUAUAAGACUGGGAUAACUUCGGGAAACCGGAGCUAAUACCGGAUAAUAUUUUGAACCGCAUGGUUCAAAAGUGAAAGACGGUCUUGCUGUCACUUAUAGAUGGAUCCGCGCUGCAUUAGCUAGUUGGUAAGGUAACGGCUUACCAAGGCAACGAUGCAUAGCCGACCUGAGAGGCUGAUCGGCCACACUGGAAGUGAGACACGGUCCAGACUCCUACGGGAGGCAGCAGUAGGGAAUCUUCCGCAAUGGGCGAAAGCCUGACGGAGCAACGCCGCGUGAGUGAUGAAGGUCUUCGGAUCGUAAAACUCUGUUAUUAGGGAAGAACAGAUGUGUAAGUAACUGUGCACAUCGUGACGGUACCUAAUCAGAAAGCCACGGCUAACUACGUG
rnacentral:rRNA from 1 species